rnacentral:tRNA from 2 species
CGGCACGUGGCGAAACCACGGUAGACGCACCUGCUUCAAAACCAGGCUCCCAAGGGGAAUGCGAGUUCGAAUCUCGCCGUGCCGACCA